AGUGAACGCUGGCGGUAGGCCUAACACAUGCAAGUCGAACGGCAGCACAGGAGAGCUUGCUCUCUGGGUGGCGAGUGGCGGACGGGUGAGGAAUACAUCGGAAUCUACUCUGUCGUGGGGGAUAACGUAGGGAAACUUACGCUAAUACCGCAUACGACCUACGGGUGAAAGCAGGGGACCUUCGGGCCUUGCGCGAUUGAAUGAGCCGAUGUCGGAUUAGCUAGUUGGCGGGGUAAAGGCCCACCAAGGCGACGAUCCGUAGCUGGUCUGAGAGGAUGAUCAGCCACACUAGAACUGAGACACGGUCCAGAGUCCUACGGGAGGCAGCAGUGGGGAAUAUUGGACAAUGGGCGCAAGCCUGAUCCAGCCAUACCGCGUGGGUGAAGAAGGCCUUCGGGUUGUAAAGCCCUUUUGUUGGGAAAGAAAUCCAGCUGGCUAAUACCCGGUUGGGAUGACGGUACCCAAAGAAUAAGCACCGGCUAACUUCGUGCCAGCAGCCGCGGUAA
rnacentral:rRNA from 1 species